AAGGCAGCCCCCUGGGAUAACACUGACGCUCAUGCACGAAAGCGUGGGGAGCAAACAGGAUUAGAUACCCUGGUAGUCCACGCCCUAAACGAUGCUGACUAGUUGUUGGGAAUUUACAUUCUCAGUAACGUAGCUAACGCGUGAAGUCAGCCGCCUGGGGAGUACGGUCGCAAGAUUAAAACUCAAAGGAAUUGACGGGGACCCGCACAAGCGGUGGAUGAUGUGGAUUAAUUCGAUGCAACGCGAAAAACCUUACCUACCCUUGACAUGUCACUAACGAAGUAGAGAUACAUUAGGUGCCCGUAAGGGAAA
rnacentral:rRNA from 1 species